ensembl:lncRNA
CAUUCUUCUCUUUUCCUUGUGUUGCUCGCCCAGGGCCGUGGUGCUGAGGCGACGCUGCUCAAGGUGGAUCCGGAGCCCCGCGGCUUCGGAAGCUGAGACACCUAUCGCGAGGGGAGAACCUGGCGCUCCCCCGCUCCGACGCAAGGCGACCCGCCGCCGCAGCCCCGGAAGCGCAUCCUCGGCUUCGCUGGCCUUCCUGUUCCCAGCAGCGCCCGGCUCCGGGCGUUUCUUCGCUCUCUCACGGUCCGCGCCCGCCCUGCCCCAGCCGAGGGCACCCGCGCGGCCAGGGCCGCAGCUGGGAGCCCCGCGCCUCUCGGACGGCCGCGCGACUCGGUGACCACCUCGGAGGCCUCAGUGUCUCUGGAGAGUCAGCCACCUGGUGUCCUGAUAAACUUCCUAAAAAAAUCUUUCUAGGAGCAGUGUGAGGAGGACAGACGAGCCCUCUGGACUGGCAAGGCCACCGGCCAAGUACUGCUGCCACCAUGCCCAAGAGAAAGGCAAAAGGAGAUGCUAAAGGUGACAAAGCAAAGGUGAAGGAUGAGCCACAGAGGAGAUCAGCACGGUUGUCCGCUAAACCUGCCCCCCCAAAACCAGAGCCCAGGCCUAAAAAGGCCCCUGCAAAGAAGGGAGAGAAGCUGCCCAAAGGGAGAAAGGGGAAAGCAGAUAGUGGCAAGGAUGGGAACAACCCUGCGAAAAACCGAGAUGCCGCCACAGUCCAGUCACAGAAAGCGGAAGGCAGCGGGGAUGCCAAGUGAAGUGUGCUAUUUUGAUAGCUCUGUACUUCUAGUGACUCUGCUGUUUGAAAUACUGUUUUUUUUCAAAUCAACUUUUAUAAAAAUGUAGAAUUUUGUUUUUCUUUUUAAGUUAUAUUGUUAGCACACAGGACACUUAGUUGUCUUUUGUGGAAAGGGCAAAUACCACUAACAGAGUGUUUCAGAAGCUGGAUUAAAAUGGAGGAAAAUAGUAUUUUCUGUCCUCAUUUUUGAAGAUUAUUCUUGGUCCCCGGGAGAGAUUCUCUGACAUUCACACACGAGUCAGUCACUUUGGCUCAGACGCCUUACAGUGUGUGGAAGCAAAACUUCAUGUCUUUGCCUUUCCUGAUACCAUCAGCAUAUAUUUGACUUUCUGAACCCAAGAGUUAUGGUUUCAGAAAACCAGCAUCCCUAAAAUCAGCUGUGUUGGGUAAUAAUCCUCAGGCCUUCUGAUGAAGACAUCGACAUGGUGUUGCUCAAAAGAGCCAAGAUUCCUGUUUGCAAUUUGUGGAUCAUCCCAUUGAUAAUCCUGGAGUUUGUAGUUUUCUCCAAGUCAGAAAUGACCUGUGAAAAGCUCUUACAUGCCUCAUGUGAAAUAUCCACCCCUUCUGACAACUUUGCCUGUUCAAAGCAGGAACAGAAGACUUUGUUGACUUUUUGGGGAGGGGUGUUUGGAAGUUGUAAAAUGUUAUGGAUUGUCACCUAUGUCCUGCUGGAAAUAACUGUUUUUGAAAAGUAUCUUAUGGAGCUGUAUACAAGUUGGCUUGGUGGAAGGGGGGGAUCAUUUCCUACCCAAAGUCAUAAAGAUAUUCUUUACUGCCUUGUAAAAGUUUUACAGUUUUGCUUUUCAUACGUCUUUAGUCUUUAGAACUGGUUUUUGUGAAAAGUAUGAGAUAGAAGUUCAAUAUAAUAUAUUUUCCAUAUAGAUAAGUGGUUGUUGCAGCACCAUUUUCUGAAAAGUUCAUCCUUUCCUCACUGACCUGUAACACUGUCUCUUUCAUAAAUCAAGUUUGUGUGUUUGUGUGGGUCUCUUGAUGGUUUCUGUUCUGACUCACUGGUCAAUUUGUCUAACCUGUGGCAGUACUAUACAAUCCUGAGUAUGACAACUUUAGAAAAAGGUCUUGAUAUCUCAGGACAAAUCCCACCUCCACCUCCAACAUCAUCACCAAAUUUUUCUUCCUUGAGAGUAUCUUGGCUAUUUUUAGCCAUUUGCUUUUCCAUACAAUUUCUAGAAUUAGAUUGAGAAGUUCUAAAUCAAACAAAAAAAAUGUUGGAAUUUUUAUUAGAUUUAUGGAUUAAUUACAGUGUUGAAUCUUCCAAUCCAUGAACAUGGUAUAGCAUUUAUUUAGGCUUUUUAAAUGUCUUUCAAUAAAGUUUUAUAAUUUUCUCCAUAAAUGUCUUCUUUUGUUAAUAUUUCCUGGGGACUUUAUACCUUUUGAUGCUCUUUUAUGUGGUAUAUUUUAGUUACUACAUUUUCUGGUUUUAGCUAAAGUUGAUUUUUGUAUCCAGCAACCUUGCUAAACUCUCAAUUCUUAUAUGUCUGUAUACUUCUUUGGGUUUUCUGCCUAGAUAACCAUAUAUUCUGUGUAUGCAAACAAUUUUUUUUCCUCAC